UAUAAUUUAAAUAGGCAACUAAUAUUCAAAAAUCCAAGUCAUUAUUUAUAGGUAAUGGGCAUAAUUUGGAAAUUGAUCGCUUCAUCAAUUUUCCGCGGCAUUUUAAAGAAUACACACGACAUAUCCCGUCUGCUCCCGAAUGUUUUUCUAGGAUACGACCUAAAGCCCAUUUACCAGGAGGUAAAUGUUCUUCCACGACCAGGACCACAUCUCCCACUUUGAAUUCAUCUUGUCGUUUUAGCCAUUUGGGUCGUUGCUGUAGACGUGACAAAUAUUCUGUUUGCCAUCUCUUCCAAAAGUCUUGUAGUAACCUUUGUGCAUACUGCCAUCGUGAAAGUCUGUUAAGGUUUAUGUCUCUCAAGUCUGGUUCUGGUAUAUUGAAUGGGGCUUCACCAAUGAGAAAGUGACCAGGUGUAAGAAUAUUCAAAUUAUCGGUAUCUGUAUUGUCGAUUGGACACAACGGUCUGGAAUUUAAGCAUGCUUCUAUCUGGCACAGUAAUGUUGUCAUCUCUUCGAAAGUUAGAUGCUUAUCUAAAAUUCUUCGCAAGUGAUAUUUGAUGGAUUUCACCCCCGCUUCCCAUAAGCCUCCAAAAUUUGGACUGUAAGGUGGAUUGAAGUGCCAUUGUAUGCCAUCUUCUGCUAAAGUAGCUGGUAGAUGGCCUGGUAUUUGUAAAUUAGCCUGUUGGAACAGCUCCAACAAUUCCUUGUUGGCACCUACAAAAUUAGUGCCUUGAUCGCUCCAAAUGUGGCUACAUCUUCCCCUUCGAGCUACAAAACGUUUUAACGCGCCUAAGAAAGAAUCAGUGCUUAAAUCCCCAACUAAUUCCAAAUGAACUGCUUUGGUAGACAUACAUACAAAUAUGCAAAUGUAUGCCUUAUUGGUUUUGGACCCUCUACCCCUUGAAGUUAAAAUUUGCAGUGGACCAGCAAAAUCUACGCCGGAGUGUAAAAAUGGCCGUGACGGAGUCACCCUCAUCUCAGGUAAGUCUCCCAUAAUUUGUAAUCUGGGUUUUGCUUUAAGUCUCGCACAUAUAAAGCACUUAUUGAUAUAUGAUGAAACAAGUGAUUUAAUUUUAAUAAUCCAAAAACGGCUUCUUAUAUAAUUUAUAGUCAAUUGUGUACCACCGUGUAGCGUCUUUUUGUGUGCAUCAGCUAUUAUUAAAGUAGUUAAACAGCUCUUAUUGCUUAAAAUCAUGGGAUGUUUCUCGAUUUCUACAAGAUGGGCAUGCCUGAGUCUGCCGCCCACCCUGAGAAUAUUUUCAGCGUCCAGGUAAGGAUUAAGAUUUUUAAUACAACUGUUGCGUUUUAUUUCUUUCCUUUGUUUUAAAUCUUCUAUUUCUACUGAAAAAGAUUCCCUUUGGUCUAAUCUUACACAUUUGUUUAAACUGUCAUGUAGCUCAUUUGUAGUUAUAGCCUUAACUUCUUUAAUUUUCCUUACAUUCAGAAACCGUGUGCAAUAGACUAUUGCUCUCAGUAAUUCAUAUAAGUUAUUAAAAUUUUUAAAUUUAUUUGACCAAUGUGCCUCAUCUACUAUUUUUGUAUUUGCUAUAAUAUUUUUCCUUUUUUCUAGGUUAGUGUUAUAAACGGAAUUUUUCAAAGAAAGCUGCUCAUCUCGUAGCCAUUUUGGACCUUCCCACCAUAAUUUACAAUUUUUAAGUUCAGGUAAUAACAUUCCACGUGAAGCAACAUCGGCAGGAUUUUCUACAGAAGGCAGGAGUACAGGAGUUAACCAACCGAGAGGAUCAAACAAGCGUUGAAUCUCCGAGAGUAUGGUUCUUUUGGUUAUGUUUGCCGGUGACGCAGGUAAGUCAGCAUAAUAAUGUAAAGUAUCAUCGACCACAUUCCAUGAUAGCCCUAACGUCUUUACUGUUCCUUCAAACUUAAAAUCUAUACUCAGGCGAGAGCUUAGUUCAUCGGAAGAAAAGUUUUUCAAAAAAUCCUUAUUAUUUGAUGACCAUUUCUGUAAUUUCAUUCCUCCUCUACUAAGUAUAUUUGAAAUUUGUUUCGCUAUUUUUGUAGCAUCUUCUACCGAAUCCUGACCGGAUAGUAAAUCGUCCAUAAAAAAAUCAUUUUUUAUUACAUUAACAGCCGCAGGAUAGCCUUCUCCUUCAUCGUUAGCAAUUUGGUGAAGAGUUUUUACAGCAAGAUAAGGUG